CAGGAAUUAAAGAUGCCUUUCAUGAUGUCUGAUAGUAGAUGGGGGUUAGUUCCGUCCAGGCGAUUGGUAUACCUGACUGUCAAUGCUCUGGCUAUCUGUAGUAGCAUGCAACCGGCGGAGUACUCCUUUACCAGGCAGUAGAUUGUGAAGUACUGCACAAAGAAUGCUAGGUCUGCAACGUGAAGGGAGAAUUCCUGAAUUGUGAGCCUGUUUCUGUGGGUGUGGUCUCGCAGGUUGACUUAGCAGCCCCUUGCCCCACAAGCUGAUAUCCGACUACCAAGCUAAGUCCGGUUGUUCGUGGGGGUCUGUCUGAGUGAACCUGACCAGACCUCACUUGCAGUCCUGGUAACGUAGCGAGUCUGGG